UCUGGAGUAUUGUCAGCACACACGUUUCCUGUUAAGAAAACUCCUGCCUCGGGCUGGAGAGAUGGCUCAGCCGUUAAAGGCUGGGCUCACAACCAAAUAUAUA
rnacentral:miRNA from 14 species